UUUUUUCAUUUCCAUAAGAACUUUUACAAAGCGAGUCUGCACCUAAAAUUUUAUAGGAGACUUCUAAUUAAGUAUGGGUUUUAGAGAAGUUUUCAUGUUUCCACCGAGGAAGUGGUUUCCACAAAAUAUUUUCCCAAAUAGCAAUACUUCAACGACGGGCAAUUAAUCAUGGUGUUGAAUCGGUGGAGGAUCUAUAUAUACAAUUAGUUGCCCUGUUUAAUCAGAGAAUUUCUUUGUUACUCCCUCCAUUCUUAAAUAUACGACGCUGUUAACUUUUUACUCCAACUUUAACUAUCAAUAUCUAUUGAACGAAUUAGUUAACUAAAGUAAAAUGUGUAUUAUUAUGUCUAUUAUCAAAUAUAUUUUAGAUUUAACUUGUAGUUUUAUCUAUUUGAAAAAAUAUUUGUAGAAAAGACGAAUAGUCAAACAAAUAAAAAAAAUCAAUGGUGUCGUAUAUUUAAGAACGGAGGUGGUAUAUCCCACCCAACACCUUCAAUUAUGACGUUUUCCUUAUCCCACUACAUUCCUUUACUCGCUCUUUAUAAUAACAUCUCCACGCAGCUGCCUUUGUUCUCAGGUCUCAUGAUGUUGGUAUCACAUCAAGCACACAUAUAUCUCCCAGCUUAGGAUUACGUGGGAAUAAGAGGAAUCGGCAAGUUUAACUGCUCGUGGUCAGACUAGAUCGGCUCGCCCCACUCCCACUUAACUACAAGGUUUCGAUCAUUGGGUGCAUGGGUAACGACACAAGGUGCAUGGGCAUCUCCACAAGCGCGCGCUACAUAUGACUGCACUGGCGACCAGAGCUUGGUAUUUGGAUUUUUUCCGCUUUAUUCCUUGUAUGGAUCUAUAUAUUUUGGUUCUCAUAAUUUCAUAUUGAGGCUUUUCUUGGAACCGGCUUUGCGCGACGACCAGGCUUCAUAUAAACUAUUUAGCCUUUGACCUUCGUUGACUUGUCCAUUCUUUUCCUUUGAGGUAUGUUUUAGUCUUUGACCUUUGCUGACUUCUCCGUUCUAUCCCUUUGAGGUCGCCAGAUUUUUACUACCCUUCCAAUGCAAGCUGUCUACACAAAUACAAAACAGACGAACGCUUCUUCAUGCCUUUGACCUCCAGGCCGAGACGGUUAAGAAAAUGUUAAAGACAAUCCCGAUCCCUACACUCACUCGUCAAGCAUACAGAAUUGGUGCCGUCACAUUCUGGGGACAUGGUGAGCAGUAGUUGGCCACUACUAUAACACCCCGGAUUUUCCCAAACCCGGAGGCUACACAAAACAGCUAAAAACCACACCAAUCUAGAAUUUAUUCAAAAUUUCGACUGGACGUCCGAAACAGGAAAAACACAUAAAAUUUGCAGGAAUAACAUAUAAGCAAAAAUUAGCCAUCACACCCCAACCUUACUAACAAUCCAGAAAACUGUCUCACCCUCAACCAAUGGGUAAAAG
rnacentral:lncRNA from 1 species